UACGAAGGGGGCUAGCGUUGUUCGGAAUCACUGGGCGUAAAGCGCACGUAGGCGGAUCUUUAAGUCAGGGGUGAAAUCCUGAGGCUCAACCUCGGAACUGCCUUUGAUACUGGGGAUCUCGAGUCCGGGAGAGGUGAGCGGAACUGCGAGUGUAGAGGUGAAAUUCGUAGAUAUUCGCAAGAACACCAGUGGCGAAGGCGGCUCACUGGCCCGGAACUGACGCUGAGGUGCGAAAGCGUGGGGAGCAAACAGG
rnacentral:rRNA from 1 species